AGAGCUGGGCCUCCGCCGGGGCCGGCCCUCCCACGGCGCUAGCCCUGCGGCUCCGGGGGCCCUGAGCCUGGUGGUGGUCCUCGCGGCCCUCGGGAUCCCCAGGCUGCUAGGGGGCGCCGGCCCGGGAGAGGGUCCCGGGGAACCGUCUCUAAAGAGGACAGUGAAUACAUCAAUUAGGAAAGUCUCGUCCUGUGGGCUCCUCGUGCCACCCCCACCCUCCAGGGCGACUGCGAGCACCCAGAGGGGAGGAGGUGGGCUGCAGCCGCAGACGGUAGAGCUGGGCCGGGUUCAGACCCCGCGUUCCCCCCAGGGCUUGGGUGACCUCUCUGAGGCGUGGUUUCUACCUACGAGAUGAUGGAAACAUUCCUCCGGGAGAUUAACAACGUAUGGGGAUCACACGAGAAAAAUGUUCCCCAAGACGCACCCUGCAGGGCCGGCCGCGUGCAAGUGCCCAGCGGAGCGGUUCCCUUUGAGCCCGAGGAUACAUCUAGCCAACGACGCCUCCCAGGGCCUCACACCCGGAGGCUCAGAGCCUGCUCACUGAGUUAGCAGUAGGGACUCCAGGGGCAGCCUGGCUGCAACCAAGGCUCUGACUCUUUAUGGAAGGAAAUGCAUCUUUGAUUCAAGAAACCCACGUGUGAUCAGGACUUCCGAAUCUCUCCACCCAUAGAGAGGCACCGCCAGUGUGCUCUGUGUCCCAGUCCCCGUGGGGCUGGGAGGCGCCCUCUCCACCAUCCUGGCACUUAGCACAAGUGCCCAUCCUUCCCAGUCUGUGUGCCCAGAGCCUGCAGGCCGUAGAUUCUGCACGAGUACUUGCUGAGUAACUGAGAGGGAGGACGAGGCAGCACGCGGGCUUGUCGGGGCCGGACUGAGAUACACAGCCUUUCCCAGACUCCAGCAUGCUGUUGUUUUAGAAAAGAACUGGCCUGGGUUGAAUUUCGGUGCCAUGAAUCCUCCUCACCCGUGGUUAUCAGACUCAACGUAGCGGCCAUUCCCUCUAGGAGGUCUCUCUGAUCUGCCCCCUCUCUGUGUGUCCACAGGGUCCUGUAAAUGCCACCCUAGCACGUGGCACACUGCUCCGGGUGCCGUCCUCAUGGAGCACCUCAGCUUCACUGGGUGAGCGGGUGCUGCAUCCCACGUGCAGAGGGGUGGGCAGCUCGGACGCUGGGCCAGGCCUUCCGCGAGACAGAGAGGGGCUGGCUCUGACCCCACAGGGGGAGGUCCGUGACGCACUCAGAUUCCCGAGAGUCUCCUGCACCUUCCUGUCUUCGUCCCUUAUCCGGCCCGGGUCUGUUCCCAGCUGGCUCUGACCCCAUGCUGAACGGACACCGGGAGAAGUCAGCAGUACCCUGAGCAUCUGCUCUCGGAACUGGGAGCGGGCGGAUGAGGCGCCAGGUCAAAUUCGCACACCCCUCCCCCGCUCCACAGCCUAUAGGGCUCCCCUUUGAAGGGACAGUGCCUUCAAGGGAAGGUUCUAGAAGCUCUCUUCCAAACAGACCCUCGGCUCCAUCAGGACCAGUCUCUGCCGACACUCCGCCCAUUCCUGACCUUACACCUCAGCUCACACGGACGGGUCGCGGGGCCCUCCCCAGGUCCAGAGGUCUCCAGCCCCAGUGCGCAUUCUCAAGUCCGUGCGCCUGCGUCUCCGGCCGGGCCGUGAGCCACCAGAGGCCAGCGCUUUCUCUUAGGCAGUGCCCCUCAGUCCUCCCCCAGUGCUUGACGCGGAAUGGGUGCCGUUUGACGAAAAUGUGAGAUGGACUGUCCUCUCCCACGCGAUCCCUGUCCAUUCAUAUUCGACUUAAUUAUUUAAAUACCAUCAGAAAAGUGCACCCAAGCAAGAAGACCUCACAGCCUGCACGUGUAGUUCUCGAACUGGUUCUCUCUCUACUUAGCAAAGGACUGAGAAGCCGGCAGCGAGCUCAGUGUUUCUCUUGGAGCUUCACGUUUGAACCACAAGCUCAGAGGGGCUUGCGCUGACCUAACACACGUGUCUUAUUAAAUUGAUUCCUGUUGGAGGGGCUGUUCCACUGCAGAUUCAAGUCAUCACGCUGAGCUCCUGCUCUGGUGAGAGAGGUACGGAGAGUCACCUGGGUGGUCCCUGGGAAGGUAACGCCCCCUGAAAGAUGCUCUCUGGAGGAUGGCCGUGGACUUCUGUUGUUGAGGGCCAAGCCCCGGGAGCCGUAGCCCCAGGAACCUGGCGAGGAGCCCCCUCUCCCGAGCUUAGAAAACCCGAGUGCUGGGAUCCUCCUCAUCAGAGUUCCGCAGACCUGGGCGGGAUCCGACCAGCAGCAGAGAACCAGUCCGGGUCUCCGCUCCCCACUGGGCGGAACCAGUUGUGGACAGCGCCACCGUGUGGCGGUGAGAAGCAAUGGCAGUAGCUUAUUGCAUAAAUUCCUGGUCUGAUGGAGUGAGUCUCCAGGUCUUUUAGAAAAUUCAGGGUAAGGGAGGACCCCCAACAAAGAGCCAUGGGGCUUUCUGUUAACAUCUACUACUUUUCUCCCAGAGAGGGUGGAUUAAUUCACGUCACUUAAACUUUCGUUACAUACAGAUACAUAAAAGAUGCAUAAUUAAAUGUGUUCUGUUACUUGUUUUGAACAACCAAAAACAGCAGGUUGUAUCAGCCUUAAGCAACUUACUAGCUGAAAGUGUGGUUCUGAAAUUGUGAAUUGUGCUUGAGGGCGUCCCCCACCCAAGCGAGCCCGGCGGGGACUACCGAAGGAAGGAGCUGGACCAACACGUGGGUUGGUUUCAGCAGCCACAGAACAGCAACUGUGGGCAACAUGCUUCGCCUUUAUAAGGGGCCUGGUUCCUCGCCUACCCGGCGCUCCUUGCCCUCUGCACCCCCCACCCCUGCUGCUUCCUCAGCUCUGUCCCCUCUGGUUUACUUUCACCGGGAAUGGAACAGGCACACGUGGUGGAAGGUCCCCGAAGCUCACUGCACGAUGCAGUGACACCAGCCUCCCUUUGUGACCACGACGUGUGCACAGCCACACCCCACACAGUCAGAUACUGCCCAAGGAACUUCAUGACCUCCAAUCCGACUUGCAACAGAGAGGGUAAGAACGUUGCCAGCCCGGCCCUGGGCUUCCUUCCUAAAGCCCUGCUGCUUCUGAUUCUGUAUCAUGUAGGAUUUGCUCCCCCUCCCACCCCGCCCAAUUGUUAGCUCCUUGUCACUGUCACAGACAGCCUGAGGGUCCAACUGCCCACACCCCCACCCCCAGCCCCAGUGCACAGCAUUAUAACUCCUGGACGCAGUAGGCGGACCCCAGGCCCUCCCCCUCCUAGGUGUCCAGUGUCACCCAACCUCGUCUCCCCCGUUCCCCGGCCCCACACUCUCCGUGGCCCAGGCAGCCAAAGAGCCCUCUGCUCGCCCUUCCUGACACCGCCUCCCCACCCAGGCUGUAAACUGCAAGAGCAAGAACUCCUAUAUCAUGCUUCGUCUUUGAAACACACGGUACCUGCUCCAUAAACGAUUGCUGAUUGACACCAUGUAUUCCGGGGAGGGCUGAGCCAUCUUUAUCAGGCAAAGGGGCUCGUGAACGUUGAGUAGGCUGGACCGUUUACGGAGCAGACAGCAUCAUUCUACCUCUCUAGCUUCCCUCACUGUCUUCAGCAAGACUAGGGCCAGAGCUGGGGGAGUCUGAGGUCAAAAACUGUCUGAAUGUGUCACUUCAAACCCAGAACGUGGCUCAGAAGUGGCUUUGGGAGAAGUGGGCUCAUGAUCCCCUGCUUCUCCUUCCACUCAGAGAGCCCACCAGCCUACAUCACAGAGACGGGACUUGUUGGCACCUUCAUGAAGACUUCUUUUCAGAGCCUGCCCUACCCCUGCCACCCCAAACCGGGAGAAUUUGUAAGGAAACGGACCACAGGACGGCAGAACACGUGGGCGUCAGCCAUCCCCUGCCUCCAGGAAAGGUGGCCACUGUAUUCUUUCCCCAAAGGGCCCCCUGGCCAAAUGCUUUGAGAAAUGCAGCCCCUUUCUUCCUUCCCUGGAGAGCCCAGGGUGCGCUCGCUUCCGCGGGAAAGCCCUGCGGGAAGGAAGCUGCUUGCGUGUAACCCAGAAGCCCCCAGGUGGACCUCAGAGCACUUUUUGUUGGUCUCAAGCCUACUGACAUCAAGUAGAAUACACUGCAGGGAAUGCGCUUUAAAGUCUGCAGGACAAGCAAGUGCUGCUGCUUUUUCCAAUGAGAAAGGUCACAGUCCCCCUCGGGAGUCUACCUUGUGGCCUGUAACUGUUUCUAGGAGGAUGACCUGACCAGUCCCGCCGUAUGCGUGUCCAGCGCCCCCACGUAAACUCAUCAGUCAUUUCGAAUCUCCGUGAUGCCGCCCCGGAUCUGACCCAGGAGAAGGGGCAGUCGGGCCUGGCAACCACGGGCCCACAGAGUGCCCAUGGGGGCUGGAGACCGAUGCCUCCUCCUCCAGGCAGCUACAGGGCUUGGGCCGCUGGGUUGGGCCUCCCCACCCCGCUGGCCUCGCCACGAGGGAGGCAUUGCUAUUCGUGGGCCUCUGCCCGGAGCCCGCCUAGACCCUCUCACUGCCCUCAGUGCUGCCCCCAGGCCACUUCCAGAGAGAGGAGCCUGGAGAGCUUCAACCCAGUGACCUAGCCAGGUGCUCAAACACAGGGGGCUCGGCUGGGACUCCGGAAGGAGGGGAACGGCCUGGAGAAGGAAGGCUGGCGUGGAUCAGGUGACUCCCGAUGCCUGGCCUUGCUUGGUGCUCUGCGCUCCAGUCUCGUGUAACCCUCACACCUGUUUACAGAUGAGGAACUCGAGGCUCAGAGAGGCUGGGAGACCCACUCAGGGUCACACAGCCGAGCUGCAGCUCAGCUGUUUGGGGUGGUGUGCGAGGACCUUCUCGGCCAGGCAGGGCUGCCCAACUUUUUGGCGAGAGCCCUGAUCUUUACAGGAUUUCCUGGGAGCCAGAGACAGGAGAGGGGCUUGGUCCCUCCUUGGUUCCUACAACACUGGGGUGUCACAGGAAGGCAAUUCCAGAGGCCGCUGCCCUCGGUCCCCGGGAAGCAUAUCAGGCUCCUCAGAGCACCUCGCAGGCUGGGGAGCCCUGUGUGAGAGGCAGCCCCACGAACGGGAGGCACGGCUUUAGGCCAGACCCUCCCAGACCGGAUCCGGGCUCUGCCCUUACGGACGGAGGGACCUCAGGCCACGUGCUGAUGCUGCAAACCUCAGUGUCCUCACCUGCAAGAUGGGGGCAAUGACACCUCCCUCAGAGGCUAUUGGAAAGGGAAGAGGAAUGGAUGUGAGUCAUGUGGUCCUUGUAGGAACGGAAUCCUGGGGAGCUGGCGUGGCCAGUACGGCCGGGGUAGUGCUGGAAAGAACCCCUGAGGCUUCAAGAUCCUGGGACACGGCUCUGACAGGCCCACAUCAGCAGGUGUCACCCCCGACAUGGCAUCUGGACACAGCACUGAUGCCCACGCUCAGCGGCUGCCAGAGCCAUGUCUGUCCUGGUGGACGGCUGGAGGGGAAAUUCUGCACACAAGGGCCUGACUCUGCUCACACCUCUGAAGGACUAGGGUGACCAGUUCACACGGUUCUCCAGAUAAGCUGAAUGUGAUCAGCCUGCAUCCCAGCACCUGCAGAACUGGCUGCCAGGCAUCUCCUGAGCCCCGUCCCGCAGCCCUGCUAUGGGUGGGGCGCAGCAGAAGGCCACCUGGACGGCACGUAAGUGGCAGAGCCCACCUCGCACAUCUGCUCUGAGUGUGCUCGGGAACCCUCAUACAGCCCUGGGAUGUCAGCAUCCCAUGUCGCAGAUGAGGAGAUGAAGACACAGAGAGGGUAAGCAACCUGCCAAGGUAACACAGCUGGUACAGGCAGAGCUGAGAUGCAUGUCCCUGCACUGGGGCUCCUGAAGGGGCACUGCUCGCUGUAUACACAGACUGAGAGAAAGAAGCCGAAGGAGGGGAGGAGAAAGGAGACACACCAGCGUGAGGGGGAGGGAAGCGUCCCGUCUCAGCCGCCCCCGCCCCCGCCCCGACUCCCGGAGCUGGCCGCGGGGCGGCCGUCCUGCCCCGUCUGCUCGGGUCAGUUUGACGACCAAGUGGAAACGUUUGUAUGACCGCUCUGUGAGCCGUAAAGUUCUAAACAUAAGAGGAUCACAACGAUCUGUUUCUGUGGUUGCCGCUGUGAGAGAAGCAGCCCCGCUCGGGGCCAUCCUCGCCAGGGCGAAGGGUGGGGGCCGAGGGCCGGGCAGCUUCCGCACGCAUCCUCUCCAGCCUGCAGUGCGCUUUGGGGAAAUUCAUUCCUGCGUUCGCCACCAAGGGACCUGCUGGGUUUACCUUCAGAAACUGACUCACUGGCUCGCAGCCACUGAGUGCCUGGGAUUCUGAGCCUGCUUGGAGCGGAGAGCUGACUUUCACAUGGGACCUCCUCCAGGUCAGGCGCGCUCCUCAGUGACCCUGAUGUGCACGCACAGCCAUGGAUUCCUCACAGGAAGGUGGGGACUAUUAUUAUCCUUGUGACAGAUAGGACAGCUGAGGCCCAGAGAGGUCAGGUAACUUUCCCAAGGCCACACAGCCGAUGGCACUUGAGAGACACUGGUGUACACCUUGGGACUGGCCAGGAAUUCUCCUCUGUCCAGGAAUGAGUCUUUCUGAACAGCCCAAGAGAAUGAGUAAAACUGAGAUUCAGGAGGCAGGCUGCUCUGGACGUUGCUCCCACUGCUUCACCCCGACCCUUACCUCCCCCUGCCCCCACUGUCAGUUACACCGAAAUGGGCAGGAAGAGGCUGCUAGCUUAGGAGCCAAGACGUCAGGACACUUGGCCCAAAGCCACCAAUCAGCGCUAAUGUGGCUCAGAGAAUAAAACG